GGCGGCGUGCCUAAUACAUGCAAGUCGAGCGAAUGGACGAGAAGCUUGCUUCUCUGAUGUUAGCGGCGGACGGGUGAGUAACACGUGGAUAACCUACCUAUAAGACUGGGAUAACUUCGGGAAACCGGAGCUAAUACCGGAUAAUAUUUUGAACCGCAUGGUUCAAAAGUGAAAGACGGUCUUGCUGUCACUUAUAGAUGGAUCCGCGCUGCAUUAGCUAGUUGGUAAGGUAACGGCUUACCAAGGCAACGAUGCAUAGCCGACCUGAGAGGGUGAUCGGCCACACUGGAACUGAGACACGGUCCAGACUCCUACGGGAGGCAGCAGUAGGGAAUCUUCCGCAAUGGGCGAAAGCCUGACGGAGCAACGCCGCGUGAGUGAUGAAGGUCUUCGGAUCGUAAAACUCUGUUAUUAGGGAAGAACAUAUGUGUAAGUAACUGUGCACAUCUUGACGGUACCUAAUCAGAAAGCCACGGCUAACUACGUGCCAGCAGCCGCGGUAAUACGUAGGUGGCAAGCGUUAUCCGGAAUUAUUGGGCGUAAAGCGCGCGUAGGCGGUUUUUUAAGUCUGAUGUGAAAGCCCACGGCUCAACCGUGGAGGGUCAUUGGAAACUGGAAAACUUGAGUGCAGAAGAGGAAAGUGGAAUUCCAUGUGUAGCGGUGAAAUGCGCAGAGAU
rnacentral:rRNA from 1 species